rnacentral:misc_RNA from 1 species
UGGAACACCUCCUUUCUAGAGACAAAAAAAGAAAAUAGACCCUUACUCUCGCUGUUAAUUCAAAAAAAGAAAAGACUUAAAAUACAGAGUCUCGUAGCUCAGCUGGUUAGAGUACUACACUGAUAAUGUAGGGGUCGGCAGUUCGAGUCUGCCCGGGACUACAAGUAAAUUUGAAAAUUGAUUAAUUUGAAAAUUUAAAAAAAUUAAGUUUAAAAGGAAAUUCUAGAAGCGAAUUUUGAAUUAUAAAUUUUAAAUCAUGAAUUUGAAAAAUAAUUCAAAAUAUAUAAAUCAACAUUCAAAAUAGAAAAAGAAUGGGGGAUUAGCUCAGCUGGCUAGAGCGCCUGCCUUGCA